rnacentral:rRNA from 1 species
AGCGAACGCUGGCGGCAGGCCUAACACAUGCAAGUCGAACGAACUCUUCGGAGUUAGUGGCGGACGGGUGAGUAACACGUGGGAACGUGCCUUUAGGUUCGGAAUAACUCAGGGAAACUUGUGCUAAUACCGAAUGUGCCCUUCGGGGGAAAGAUUUAUCGCCUUUAGAGCGGCCCGCGUCUGAUUAGCUUGUUGGUGGGGUAAUGGCCCACCAAGGCGACGAUCAGUAGCUGGUCUGAGAGGAUGACCAGCCACAUUGGGACUGAGACACGGCCCAAACUCCUACGGGAGGCAGCAGUGGGGAAUCUUGCGCAAUGGGCGAAAGCCUGACGCAGCCAUGCCGCGUGGAUGAUGAAGGUCUUAGGAUUGUAAAAUCCUUUCACCGGUGAAGAUAAUGACUGUAGCCGGAGAAGAAGCCCCGGCUAACUUCGUGCCAGCCGCCGCCGUAACAC